rnacentral:rRNA from 1 species
CCAAAAACAUAGCCUUUAGCCACCAUAGUAUUAAAGGUGACGCCUGCCCAGUGAAAACUUUAAACGGCCGCGGUAUCCUAACCGUGCAAAGGUAGCGUAAUAACUUGUCUUUUAAAUAAAGACUAGCAUGAAUGGCUAAAUGAGGACCUAACUGUCUUCUAAGACCAAUCAGUGAACCUGAUCUUUCAGUACAAAAGCUGAAAUCAUAACAUAAGACGAGAAGACCCUGCGGAGCUUUAAAAACUCCACUUUUUAAGUUGGGGCGACUACGGAAACAAAAAAAACUUCCACGACAGGCCUAACAAUCCAAAAAAGGAAUUACACACCAACCAAGCUGAUCAACGAACCAAGUUACCCCAGGGAUAACAGCGCCAUCCUCUUCAAGAGCCCCUAUCGCCAAGAGGGUUUACGACCUCGAUGUUGGAUCAGGACCCCCUAGUGGCGCAGCCGCUACUAAAGGUUCGUUUGUUCAACGACUAACGUCCUACGUGAUCUGAGUUCAGACCGGAGUAAUCCAGGUCG